ACUCAUCUCCGGGGGUAGAGCACUGUUUCGGCAAGGGGGUCAUCCCGACUUACCAACCCGAUGCAAACUGCGAAUACCGGAGAAUGUUAUCACGGGAGACACACGGCGGGUGCUAACGUCCGUCGUGAAGAGGGAAACAACCCAGACCGCCAGCUAAGGUCCCAAAGUCAUGGUUAAGUGGGAAACGAUGUGGGAAGGCCCAGACAGCCAGGAUGUUGGCUUAGAAGCAGCCAUCAUUUAAAGAAAGCGUAAUAGCUCACUGGUCGAGUCGGCCUGCGCGGAAGAUGUAACGGGGCUAAACCAUGCACCGAAGCUGCGGCAGCGACGCUUAUGCGUUGUUGGGUAGGGGAGCGUUCUGUAAGCCUGCGAAGGUGUACUGUGAGGUAUGCUGGAGGUAUCAGAAGUGCGAAUGCUGACAUAAGUAACGAUAAAGCGGGUGAAAAGCCCGCUCGCCGGAAGACCAAGGGUUCCUGUCCAACGUUAAUCGGGGCAGGGUGAGUCGACCCCUAAGGCGAGGCCGAAAGGCGUAGUCGAUGGGAAACAGGUUAAUAUUCCUGUACUUGGUGUUACUGCGAAGGGGGGACGGAGAAGGCUAUGUUGGCCGGGCGACGGUUGUCCCGGUUUAAGCGUGUAGGCUGGUUUUCCAGGCAAAUCCGGAAAAUCAAGGCUGAGGCGUGAUGACGAGGCACUACGGUGCUGAAGCAACAAAUGCCCUG
rnacentral:rRNA from 1 species